rnacentral:rRNA from 1 species
AGCAGCCGCGGUAAUUCCAGCUCCAAUAGCGUAUAUUAAAGUUGUUGCAGUUAAAAAGUUCGUAGUUGAAUUUCGGGGUCAGUAGGCUGGUCGUGCCUCCGGUACGUACUGGUCUUACUGAUUCCUCCUUCCUGACGAACCGUAAUGCCAUUAAUUUGGUGUUGCGGGGAAUCUGGACUGUUACUUUGAAAAAAUUAGAGUGUUUAAAGCAGGCUAACGCUUGAAUACAUUAGCAUGGAAUAAUGAAAUAGGACGAUCGAUCCUAUUUUGUUGGUUUCUAGGAUUGACGUAAUGAUUAAUAGGGAUAGUUGGGGGCAUUAGUAUUCAAUUGUCAGAGGUGAAAUUCUUGGAUUUAUUGAAGACUAACUACUGCGAAAGCAUUUGCCAAGGAUGUUUUCAUUAAUCAAGAACGAAAGUUAGGGGAUCGAAGACGAUCAGAUACCGUCGUAGUCUUAACCAUAAACUAUGCCGACUAGGGAUCGGAUGAUGUAAUUUUUAAUGACUCAUUCGGCGCCUUACG